rnacentral:lncRNA from 1 species
CAUUACCCUUUGCCACAUUCGGGCCUUCCCUUCCCUCUGUACUCUAGUCAGAAACCCUUCCCUUCCCUUAGCCUUCCUAAAUCCCAAGUUCCCAGUUCCUAUUCACAGCCUCUGCCACUCCGCCGCUCCUCGCACCUGCUACCUGUCUUCGUCUUCUUCCUUGCGACCUACGAUCUGCGACGAUGCUACCCGUCUCACUCUCAAUCAGUGUCGCUAUCUCACUCUCAAUCUCUCACCCCCAUGACUCGUGACGGCGUGACCUGUGACCUCCUCUGGCUUUGAGUCCUCUCGUUGUUUCCAGUCUCGAGUCUAUCGACCCACGACUGCCUUUGCAAGGUUAGUCAGUCAGUCUUUCAUGUUCUACAGAUUUCCUUUGAUAGUAAUGCUCACUAUUGUUGUCAAUUAGAAUGCUUACUAUUGUUGUCAAUUAGAACAAUCUGAUGGGUGAGGAAGGGGUUGUCAAUUAGAAAAAAUGGGAGGUUUUGAUUUAAGGGUUUGUAACUAUUGGUUGUGCAUCUGAAGUCUGAACAUGCAUACCCUUGUGGUGAAAACUGGGUUCAACUUCGAUAAUUCGUGUUCCUAUACGAAUAUGAACCAUCUUCUUCUUCAGCCAUCAGUUUGAUAGCCGAUUCAAUAAAUUUCUUUUUCACUGAUAUGUUACAUCAUUGUUGUUUAAUGGAAGCCGAAUUAUCAAAGCAAUGUGAUAAAAUCGAUAGACGAAAAUUCACAAAUUGUGAUGUAGGCCCUGCAGAUUAUGGUGUCUCUGUCAAUUCAUAACUCGAUUUCAAAAAUUGUGUGUAUUUGGAAUGAAAUUAUUAAAUACAUGUAUUUCAAGUGAUUAAUUGUAACUAGUCAUUUCUGAGAGUGUUUUAUAGAAUAUUGAUUUUGUAUAUGCUAGUUUUGGAAAGGAUGGAAGGUACCAAAAAUGGUGAUGUUUGCACAGAACCAUACCGACCGAGUUUCGGAAAGCUUAGUCGGCCUAUAUCUCCAUUGGAGUUAGCUGACAAAAACCAUACCCUUAUCUGCAUUAAUAAGAUAUGCAUUUACACUAGUAAAUAUAUAGUUUCUUAUUCCUUAUUAUAAUUUUGUUUCAUACUAAAAUAAAGGCUAGCUUUUGUAUAUAUAUAUAUAGAUAACCCAAGUUGCAGCAAAGAUCAGUUGUUUUGUAGACAAUCUAAUUCUCACGUUCUGACAUGUUAUCCCUUCAUUGACCCAUUGGAUGUUAUGUUCUGUUCUUUACAGCUAUAUGUUAUGUAAUUGGUGUAUGGGAAAGCUUUAUGAAUCAUGAUUUAGGGUUGUUCCCUAAUUGAAUCUUAUUAUAUGUUUUGUAUUUUAAUUAGAUGAGCUUGAGCUUGAAGAGAAGGUGUGUGCUUGAGGACUUUAAAGUUUGGAUGUUAGGUUUAUUUUAGGUUUGGAAGACUUGAAGUGUGAUUGUGUUGGAGAUGUUAAAAUUUCAGAUUUCAAUUUUUGUUUUUCAUUUUAUUGAAAAAAAACCAAAAAAAAAAACCGAAACCGAACCAAAAAAGCAAAACCGAAAAAAAAUGGGCCAAACCGAAAUUUCGGUUUGGUUUCAGUUUUGGCAAAAAAACCGAACCGAUUUGAAUCGAACCCAGCCCUACCACCAACAACAUCCAACCCACUGAAACAAACAACACAAAAUUAUUCAAGUUUUUCAAUCACCUUUUGGCUGGGUAACUACUAACAAAUUUUAGCAAGUUUAAAUUCGCACCCACAGUUCCCCAUAUGAGAGAGAAAGAGAGAGAGAGAGAGAGAGAGAGAGAGAGAGUGUUACCUUCUUCUUGUCCGACAACGGUAAGAAUUGGAGUCAUCGGAGCGCUACGCCAUAUUCGAGAUAGCUAAAGCUAGGGUUUCUGAACUUUGGUUCCAAGUGUUGAACUGGAAGUAAAUGAGGAGACAAGAGAAGGAGAAGGAAAUGAGGAGAGGAGAAAAGGGCAAAGGGAGAAGGCACCGGCGCAAGGAAGAGAUGGAGGGGUUUUAUUCUGGAAAAUUUCAUUAACGUCGGUUUAAACUGACAGAAACAUUUUUUAAUAUAUAAAAUUGAUAGAAACAUUUUCAUUACUGUCGGUUAUAACCGACAGCAAAAAAAGGCCGCAAAAAUCCCCCAAACAUUCCUUCCCAAAAUUUUAAUUCCCCC